CAAACGGCCCUCUUUAGGGCCACAAAUGACAUUUGGACGAGAAAG
rfam:Globodera pallida, Lindley, WGS project CBXT01000000 data, contig: pathogens_Gpal_scaffold_267_contig_13